rnacentral:rRNA from 1 species
GACGAACGCUGGCGGCGUGCUUAACACAUGCAAGUCGAGCGGUAAGGCCCUUCGGGUACACGAGCGGCGAACGGGUGAGUAACACGUGGGUGACCUGCCCUUAGCUCUGGGAUAAGCCUGGGAAACGUGGGUCUAAUACCGGAUAUGACCUCAUGACGCAUGUUGUGGGGUGGAAAGCCUUGUGCGGCUAGGGAUGGGCCCGCGGCCUAUCAGCUUGUUGGUGGGGUGAUGGCCACCAAGGCGACGACGGGUAGCCGGCCUGAGAGGGCGACCGGCCACACUGGGACUGAGACACGGCCCAGACUCCUACGGGAGGCAGCAGUGGGGAAUCUUGCGCAAUGGGCGAAAGCCUGACGCAGCGACGCCGCGUGAGGGAUGACGGCCUCGG